rnacentral:rRNA from 1 species
GACGAACGCUGGCGGCGUGCUUAACACAUGCAAGUCGAGCGGUAAGGCCCUUUCGGGGGUACACGAGCGGCGAACGGGUGAGUAACACGUGGGUGACCUGCCUUUAGCUCUGGGAUAAGCCUGGGAAACUGGGUCUAAUACCGGAUACGACUCCGCGGUGCAUGCUGUGGGGUGGAAAGCCUUGUGCGGCUGGAGAUGGGCCCGCGGCCUAUCAGCUUGUUGGUGGGGUGAUGGCCUACCAAGGCGACGACGGGUAGCCGGCCUGAGAGGGCGACCGGCCACACUGGGACUGAGACACGGCCCAGACUCCUACGGGAGGCAGCAGUAGGGAAUCUUGCGCAAUGGGCGAAAGCCUGACGCAGCGACGCCGCGUGAGGGAUGACGGCCUCGG